UAUGGGGGGGACCAUCCUCCAAGGCUAAAUACUCCUGACUGACCGAUAGUGAACAAGUACCGUGAGGGAAAAGGCGAAAAGAACCGUGGUGAACGGAGUGAAAUAGAACCUGAAACCGUAUGCAUACAAGCAGUAGGAGCACCCCAUGUGGUGUGACUGCGUACCUUUUGUAUAAUGGGUCAGCGACUUAUUCUCAGUAGCAAGGUUAACCGAAUAGGGGAGCCGUAGAGAAAUCGAGUCUGAAUAGGGCGUUAAGUUGCUGGGGAGUAGACCCGAACCGGGUGAUCUAUCCAUGAGCAGGGUGAAGGUUCAGUAACAUGAACUGGAGGCCCGAACCCACCGUCGUUGAAAAGCCGGGGGAUGACUUGUGGAUAGGGGUGAAAGGCUAAUCAAACUCGGUGAUAGCUGGUUCUCCCCGAAGCUAUUUAGGUAGCGCCUCGGA
rnacentral:rRNA from 1 species